CCUACGGGGUGCAGCAGUGGGGAAUAUUGCACAAUGGGCGCAAGCCUGAUGCAGCCAUGCCGCGUGUAUGAAGAAGGCCUUCGGGUUGUAAAGUACUUUCAGCGAGGAGGAAGGCAUUAAGGUUAAUAACCUUGAUGAUUGACGUUACUCGCAGAAGAAGCACCGGCUAACUCCGUGCCAGCAGCCGCGGUAAUACGGAGGGUGCAAGCGUUAAUCGGAAUUACUGGGCGUAAAGCGCACGCAGGCGGUCUGUCAAGUCGGAUGUGAAAUCCCCGGGCUCAACCUGGGAACUGCAUCCGAAACUGGCAGGUUAGAGUCUUGUAGAGGGGGGUAGAAUUCCAUGUGUAGCGGUGAAAUGCGUAGUGAUGUGGAGGAAUACCGGUGGCGAAGGCGGCCCCCUGGACAAAGACUGACGCUCAGGUGCGAAAGCGUGGGGAGCAAACAGGAUUAGAUACCCUUGUAGUC
rnacentral:rRNA from 1 species